UGAAAAGGAAUUUGAGAGAGAGAGAGAGAGAGAGAUUAAGAAGGUACGUGAUCCAACGGUCUCCCAGAGCUGCAUCUCGCCUUCCUCGUAAUUCAUAUCGUGAGCAAUAGUGAUUAGGAUCAGAUGAUCUCCGUCGCGAACCACGUUAUCGAUCGCCCAGCUCAGAGCCUUCUUACUGCAGUCCGAGAAAUCCACCGCCACUCCGAUCCUUCGUCCACCACUCUCCGCCAUAACUCUCUCUGU
rnacentral:sRNA from 1 species